rnacentral:rRNA from 1 species
CAGUGAUGGCCGUGUAGUGGACUGCCAUGGCGUUGACGGGAGCGGGGGAUUAGGGUUCGAUUCCGGAGAGGGAGCCUGAGAAAUAGCUACCACUUCUACGGAGGGCAGCAGGCGCGCAAAUUGCCCAAUGUCAAAAAAAACGAUGAGGCAGCGAAAAGAAAUAGAGCCGACGGUGCCUAGUGCAUUGUCGUAUUCAAUGGGGGAUAUUUAAACCCAUCCAAAAUCGAGUAACAAUUGGAGGACAAGUCUGGUGCCAGCACCCGCGGUAAUUU